UACGUAGGGUGCGAGCGUUGUCCGGAAUUACUGGGCGUAAAGAGCUUGUAGGUGGUUUGUCGCGUUGUUCGUGAAAUCUCACGGCUUAACUGUGAGCGUGCGGGCGAUACGGGCAGACUAGAGUACUGCAGGGGAGACUGGAAUUCCUGGUGUAGCGGUGGAAUGCGCAGAUAUCAGGAGGAACACCGGUGGCGUAGGCGGGUCUCUGGGCAGUAACUGACGCUGAGAAGCGAAAGCGUGGGGAGCGAACAGG
rnacentral:rRNA from 1 species